rnacentral:rRNA from 1 species
UACGAGGGGUCCAAGCGUUGCUCGGAAUCAUUGGGCGUAAAGCGAGUGUAGGUGGCUUUGUAAGUCAGGAGUGAAAGCCCUGGGCCUAACCCAGGAAGUGCUUUUGAUACUGCAAAGCUUGAAUGUGGGAGAGGAUCGUGGAAUUCCAGGUGUAGUGGUGAAAUACGUAGAUAUCUGGAGGAACACCGAUGGCGAAGGCGGCGAUCUGGCCCAACAUUGACACUGAGACUCGAAAGUGCGGGGAUCAAACAGG